rnacentral:rRNA from 1 species
UAGGGAAUCUUCCACAAUGGGCGCAAGCCUGAUGGAGCAACACCGCGUGAGUGAAGAAGGGUUUCGGCUCGUAAAACUCUGUUGUUGGAGAAGAACGUGCGUAAGAGUAACUGUUUACGCAGUGACGGUAUCCAACCAGAAAGUCACGGCUAACUACGUGCCAG